UCCGGUUUGGCACCGGCAGUCCUCCCAGAGUCCUCGGCUCUACCCGGUAGCAACUGGGAGCGGGGGUUGCGCUCGUUGCGGGACUUAACCCAACAUCCCACGACACGAGCUGACGACAGCCAUGCAGCACCUCGACUACGGUCCCUUGCGGGAGAACCCCUGUUUCCAGGAGCUUUCCGCAGCCGUUCGAGCCCAGGUAAGGUUCUUCGCGUUGCGUCGAAUUAAACCACACGCUCCGCUGCUUGUGCGGGCCCCCGUCAAUUCCUUUGAGUUUUAGCCUUGCGGCCGUAGUCCCCAGGCGGAGCACUUAUCGUGUUGGCUGCGGCACCGAGGGGGUCGAUACCCCCGACACCUAGUGCUCAUCGUUUACGGCGUGGACUAC
rnacentral:misc_RNA from 1 species